GAUGAAGAACGUAGCGAAAUGCGAUAAGUAAUGUGAAUUGCAGAAUUCAGUGAAUCAUCGAAUCUUUGAACGCACAUUGCGCCCCUUGGUAUUCCAUGGGGCAUGCCUGUUCGAGCGUCAUUUGUACCCUCCAGCCCUGCUGGGUAUUGGGCGUUUUGUUCCGCUACGCGCGUGAACUCGCCUCAAAUGCAUUGGCAGCCCGCCGUCCCGUGUGGGAGCGCAGCACAUUUUGCGCUCUCCGCUGCUGACGGUGGCAUCCACAAGUCUACCAUUUUACGCUUGACCUCGGAUCAGGUAGGGAUACCCGCUGAACUUAAGCAUAUCAAUAAGCGGAGGA
rnacentral:misc_RNA from 1 species